rnacentral:rRNA from 1 species
CAGCCGCCGCGGUAAUACGAAGGGUGCAAGCGUUAAUCGGAAUUACUGGGCGUAAAGCGUGCGUAGGCGGUUUGUUAAGUCCGUUGUGAAAGCCCUGGGCUCAACCUGGGAAUUGCAGUGGAUACUGGGUCACUAGAGUGUGGUAGAGGAUAGUGGAAUUUCCGGUGUAGCAGUGAAAUGCGUAGAGAUCGGAAGGAACAUCUGUGGCGAAGGCGACUAUCUGGGCCAACACUGACACUGAGGCACGAAAGCGUGGGGAGCAAACAGGAUUAGAUACCCGAGUAGUCCCUGUCCUUAUACC